AUUUACAAAUAAAAUGCAUGUUGCAUUUAUUGCUUUGAGAUAAGAAGAAGUACUACACAGUUUGUCACCGCAGAUAAGCAGUCCUCACCAUGGAUUACCUGAAAAGAGGUUGAUCAUGGUGACAAUGAGACACCAGCACCUGUCACAAUGUACACGGAGUACCUACACGGACACGGACGCAGACUACUAGUAAAAUGGGGGUCGUUUCAAAGGUGUAUUUAUAUGCACAGGGGUCAAAUACUAGUGCUAUAGGUGCGGAUAUGUUUAUAUAUAGUUUAUAACAUGCAUAUUCGUUAGCAAUAUUAAUUCAAAGUAUCCAUUUCAAUUUGUACGACAAGCAAACACAUAUGAAAAUUGAUCACAGCUACAUAUUAUGCAUACACAAUGUAUAUGUAUACUGGUAUUUAAAAUAACCACUGUUUGUUGGACACUAGCGGUCGCUAAGCUAACUCUAUGUUGAUAUGGAAGCACAGAGUUUCACUAUGCAAUAAAUGAAGAAAAAAACUAUUACCAUGUGCGUUUGGUUUAUUCUAUUUUUUUUUAUCAAAGAUAUGUAUUUCCAAGCCUAUCGCCUUCAACUGAAAAGUCGACGUCGUCGAACUGCUAAUGCGGCACAAAUCUCCACAAUUGACGAAAUGUACCAUCUUGGAUGGCGCCAAAGUGUUCCUAUGGCCCGGUAAAUUUUCAAUUCCCUGAUACCGUGCUCAACUUUAACCCUAAAACUAGUCAUAAUGUAAUUAAGUUUAGUAUAUUUCCGUUGCAUAUAUGGUGGCACUGCUCGUAUCUGAUUUGUUUUAAAGGGAGUCAUAAAAGGAUACCUGUUGGGGAAGAUUUUAUCUGCAAGAAGAACACAGUUAUCAGGAAAGUCUAAUUCCAUAUUAAGUCCAAUGUCAGGUAUGAGGUUGACAAUUUGUGCAUCGUUUUGGUGGCCUAAGAACCCACUUCUAACAAAGCGAAGGAUCCCCAUGUUGUCUACGAUGACCAUUGUGUGAAUGCAAUGGCAGUGCCUAUGACCGCUAUAAUACAAUCCCUGUGGUUCGAUUGAGGGCCUAUAUAUCACAUGGGAUGUACCGUCGAUAGCUCCCACUGAAUCGGAUAAUUUCUCCCAACCUCCUCUCAUGUCCCGCCAUUCCUGUCGUGUUGGCCAUACCACUCCAUCCGCAUAUACAUCCCACAUAAUAUUUCUCAUUUUAUUAAGUUCUUCAGCAACAGUGGAAGAUGAAAUUUCAAACAUUAAGGAUAAAAAUGACAAAGUGGGAUAUGAACGCAACCAGAUCAAAAACAGCAGU